rnacentral:rRNA from 1 species
AGAGUUUGAUCCUGGCUCAGGACGAACGCUGGCGGCGCGCCUAAAACAUGCAAGUCGAACGAGAAGCCCGGGCUUGCCCGGGUGGACAGUGGCGAACGGGUGAGUAACACGUGAGGAACCUGCCCCGAAGACCGGGACAACAUCGGGAAACCGUUGCUAAUACCGGAUGCCCUCGAAGAAUCGCAUGGUUCAUCGAGGAAAUGGAUUCCGCUUCGGGAUGGCCUCGCGGCCUAUCAGCUUGUUGGUGAGGUAACGGCUCACCAAGGCUUCGACGGGUAGCUGGUCUGAGAGGAUGUCCAGCCACACUGGGACUGAGACACGGCCCAGACUCCUACGGGAGGCAGCAGUUAGGAAUCUUGCGCAAUGGACGAAAGUCUGACGCAGCGACGCCGCGUGCGGGAUGAAGGCCCUCGGGUUGUAAACCGCUUUCAGCAGGGACGAAAUUGACGGUACCUGCAGAAGAAGCCCGGCCAACUACGUGCCAGCAGCCGCGGUA